AUUUUUUCUCUUUUCUUUUGGGUGUAAAGAGGAAUUUCCUCUUUCAGAAAAAGAUGUCAAUUUAUCCUUUAUUUUGAUUUAUUUCUUUGUGUUUGCUUUAGUCCAUGUCUUUCCCUUUGAUUAAACUCAAGUAUUUCCAGAUAUGUUUCACUUUUAAGGCUGGUCUUUUUGUGCCUUACCUUUUUUCUUAUUCAUAGGUGAUGAUGUUUUGGUUUUCUCCCCUUGCUCACUCCUUAUACUGGUUUUUGAACCUAGGGGAUCUCUAACACUGAACUACUUCCACAGUCUAUUUCAGUUUUUAUUUUGAGACCCGGUCUUGCUAAAUUGCCCAGGCUGCCCUCAAACUGGUGAUCCUCCUGCCUUCUCAGCCUCCUUAGUUGUGGAUUACUGGUGGGCAUCCCACCACACUCGGCAAUGUUUUGGUUCUUGAUUGUUUCUUUAGAUUCCCGAUUUCUCCUUUUAUUGCAUUCUUUUGUUGAUUUUUUUCUAGUUUACUAUGUGUUUGCCCCUGAGGGUCACCAAAGAAGCAGAGAGAUUUUCUCACCCCUGACACCAAUAGUACAGAACAGACACAGAAGAACUCAAAUAACCAUCAAAGCCCUGUGUAAGUUCAAGAUGGGUGAUGAGACAUCAGGUGCUGUAUGUUGAGAAGGUGAAGUUGGGACAAGUUGGUGGCUGGGGUGUUCAAAGACCUGAGAUAGAGGGCUGAGCAGCACUUCAGUGAUGCUCUGGUCUGUGGAAGACUGGCAGAAGAAGGCAGGUGGUGGAAGGUGGGCAUCACAGUGUAGGUGGGAGCCACACUAGGCAGGGUUCAUUGGGCACAGGGUUUGGAUCCUCAGGCUUCACAUUACCUGGGUUCCAGUUUUCAUUCUAUUAUUUGCUAGCUAUGUGACUUUAAGCCAGUACUUGAUCUC
rnacentral:lncRNA from 1 species